rfam:Medicago truncatula strain A17 chromosome 1, whole genome shotgun sequence.
AUAUAAGCAAAAGUUUGAUUUUUAGAUUCAUUCAUUAAAUGAUGUAUGUAGUCUUUAUUAUAGACUACAUACGUCAUUUAAUGAAUGAACCUAAAAAUCAAACUUUUGCUUAUAU